UCAAUACAAGGAUAUCAUUAUCACAUUUAAAACUAUCACAAUGAACGGUGAUUCGUCGCAGCAAGGUACCACAAAUAAGAUAUCUCAAUCUAAAGAGGAGGAGAGUCAUACUUCGGAACGUAAUCGGGACAUAUUGUACCUUAAUGUGAUUAUUAUUGUGAUUAUUGUGAUUAGUGUGAUUAUUUGGUACACAAUGGAUAUGUUGGCAUUAGCGAUGUAUUAAUCCGGGAAGCUCGUCUAUCUCGGAAAUAUCGAGUCUGCGACAACGUCAAUUUGGAAAUUAUUCUUAGAGAAUAUGAAAAUUAUUACAAGAUGAAAUUCCAAAAAUAUCCUAUAUUGUGUAAGAAAAUAACUGAAAAGGAAAUAAAGACGAGGGAAAUGACAAAUGCGAACAAAGU
rnacentral:misc_RNA from 1 species